rnacentral:rRNA from 1 species
UACGGAGGGUGCGAGCGUUGUCCGGAAUCACUGGGCGUAAAGGGCGCGUAGGCGGCCUGGCAAGUCGAUGGUGAAAGCCCGAGGCUCAACUUCGGGUCGGCCACUGAUACUGCUGGGCUUGAGUCGACUAGAGGCAGAUGGAAUUCCGGGUGUAGCGGUGGAAUGCGUAGAGAUCCGGAAGAACACCGGUGGCGAAGGCGGCCGCCUGGGCCAGUCCUGACGCUGAGCCGCGAAAGCGUGGGGAGCGAUCCGG